AAGAGUAAAGUACUUCCGCUUCCUUAGGUGGAGCUGGAAAGGUGGAGGCGGAAGUGACUGAUCAAUUCAGGGGCGUGGGGUUCGUUUAGGUUUUGCCCUGUGUAUGACCUCGUUUGGAGCCAUGAAACCAGAGUUUCGCUCUUUUUGACCAAGCUGGAGUGCAAUGGCGUGAUCUCGGCUCGCUGCAAUCUCUGCCUUCCAGGUUCAAGUGAUUCUCCUGCCUCAGCCUUCUGAGUAGUUGGGAUUACAGGUGGCUUUUCUACAAUAUAAAGAUGGAAAUGGGAAGAAGAUGUUCAUUGCAAAUUAAGGAAGCUCUUCCACGAGUUCACGAAUGGAAAUAACAUCAAGAGUUUUUCAUCUUCUUAGUGUGCAAGUAAUCUCUGCUGGACUUCUCUAUCAAAGUGUUUGAUGCAGCAAAAUAAAUAUCAAGGAGUGCAAUUCCUGGAUUUAUGAUGUCUGAGGAAUAGUCUUAGUGGAUUAUCCCAAACUUGACACAUUUUUUGCAAAAUGCUAUACAAAAAGAAGAUACAUGCGAUUAUGACAAGAUUCUCCACUUGGUGUGACCAGUCUCAUACAACCCAAGGCUGUGUGUCCAAAGGCAACUGUACUGAUCUUGACAAUAAUCAAAAGGUAGCCAGGUGCAUCGGGGAAAGCACUGACAUUGGAGUCAGACAGACUGAAGUUCAUAUCUGAUUCUGCUAUAUGACAACGUGUGGGCUAUGUGGCUAACUUCUCAGAGCUUCAGUUUUCUCAAGGGCAAAAUGAAAAUAAUAGAAAUAAUAGAAUCCACCUCACAGGGCUGUGGUGAGAAUUGGAGAUGAAGCACAUACAGCAUAUUACAUCAACUAAACACAUGCUAAAAAUUAAAGGGGAUGAAAGAUACAUUGGUCCCUGCAGUGGGAAGUUUCCUUGACAAUGCAAUUAUUGAUUCCAGAAGGCUGAACAAAUGUUGACAGAGGAACACACUGUUUGCUUAUGUCUAAUCUUCCCAUCUGACUUAUAUAAAUGUCACAAAUGAAUCUCAGACAUGUGCCCAAUAUCAAAUAUCCAUACGAUGGCCCUGGAAAGAGGCAAUCUACAUUUAUGGCUGAUGAGAAGAUGGAUUUUUAGCUUGAAAGAAACUUAUUACUGGGGAGAGGAAGUAUAAAUGAAUGGAGAGAGCUAUGAAGAGGUUGAGAGAAUACAGCCAAGGCACAUGACAGAAUUGCUCUGUUGAAGUUUUGCAAGGUCAAAUGACUCACUUUGUCUAAUGGAACGGGAACGAACAAUUUUUUUGUGUCACGUUUGAACAGAUACCUUUGAGAAGUUUAUGAUUCUCCAAGUUCUCUUUCUCCUACUGUGGCACCUACUGACAAGAUAAAUGUGUAGAGGUUCCUGAGUCUAGGGGCACUGGAACCAGCUGACUGAUCUAUGGAAGUUCCCUUGGUCUCCAUUUGUUUAGAAAAGGGAUGAAGAAACUGAGGCCCACAGAAGGUGGGUGAUACCUGCAAAAUCACAAGCUUUCAUGGUGAAAGAAGAGGGCAAAACUCAACCCGUCUCUUUAGACUUGGGAAGAAUAUGAAAGGACCAGGAGGGACACCUUUCCUAAUAACCUAGCUGAUGGUUCACUUAUUGUAAGCACAUUCUCAAACAAGGUGACAAUUAGGUUCAAAUAUCGUCUUUGAAACACAAAGUAGAUCUUACCCUUUUUAUCCUCUUAUUGCUAGUUUAGCUUCUACUGUUAGAAAGUUGAUUCUUAAUGUAAUAUUUGUCUAAGGGUCUGUUAUAGGAGUCCUAAACAGAUACAUCAGCCAUUUUAUGCUCCUAAAUGCAAGCCAGGAAAGAGCUAGAGAUAAAAGCAAAGAUGUUAAUUUAUGUAAAGUACUUAGCAUGGUUCCUGGCAAGAAUAACAAGUCAAUAAAUGAUAUUAAUAAUAAUACUAAUACUGUAAAUAAUACCUAACAAGGCUAUUUUUCUUAUUAUUUUUAAAAUUCAUACAGUCUCUAAAAUCUUCAGUUACUUGUUCCUCUCACAGUGUUCCAUACUACACCCUGGAGACACUGAUCAAGCAGAGAACUGUGUUUACUUGAUUGUCUGAAACAGCAGGCCGAUAUAGCAGUUGCAAGCAUCUUGAGCAAUUCUAUUCCAUAUAGAGACAUAAGAAACCGAGAGAAAGAGACACAAUACAU
rnacentral:lncRNA from 1 species